rnacentral:rRNA from 1 species
GGCUACAGCCACACUGCUCAGAGCAUGACUUUUCUCAGAAACUAAGCAGGGCUGGGCCUGGUCAGUGUUUGUAUGAGAGAUUGCCUGGGGACACCAGCUGCUGUAAAUU